rnacentral:rRNA from 1 species
UACGAAGGGAGCUAGCGUUGUUCGGAAUUACUGGGCGUAAAGGGCGCGUAGGCGGUCAAGCAAGUCAGAUGUGAAAGCCCUGGGCUCAACCCGGGAACUGCGUUUGAUACUGUUUGGCUUGAAUUCGGUAGAGGUGAGUGGAAUUCCCAGUGUAGAGGUGAAAUUCGUAGAUAUUGGGAAGAACACCAGUGGCGAAGGCGGCUCACUGGACCGACAUUGACGCUGAGGCGCGAAAGCGUGGGGAGCAAACAGG